rnacentral:rRNA from 1 species
UACGUAGGGUGCAAGCGUUGUCCGGAAUUAUUGGGCGUAAAGAGCUCGUAGGCGGUCUGUUGCGUCGGCUGUGAAAACCCGGGGCUCAACUCCGGGCCUGCAGCCGAUACGGGCAGACUAGAGUUCGGCAGGGGAGACUGGAAUUCCCGGUGUAGCGGUGAAAUGCGCAGAUAUCAGGAGGAACACCGGUGGCGAAGGCGGGUCUCUGGGCCGAUACUGACGCUGAGGAGCGAAAGCGUGGGGAGCGAACAGG